ACUGCGGAGACAUUAC
rnacentral:rRNA from 1 species